rfam:Schistosoma curassoni strain Dakar, Senegal genome assembly, scaffold: SCTD_scaffold0008243
AUUCAGCUGACGAGUCCGAUGUAGGACGAAACACGCGUCCUGGAU